CCUACGGGAGGCAGCAGUGGGGAAUUUUGGACAAUGGGCGGAAGCCUGAUCCAGCAAUGCCGCGUGCAGGAUGAAGGCCUUCGGGUUGUAAACUGCUUUUGUACGGAACAAAAAGGCUCUGGCUAAUACCUGGGGCUGAUGACGGUACCGUAAGAAUAAGCACCGGCUAACUACGUGCCAGCAACCGCGGUAAUACGUAGGGUGCGAGCGUUAAUCGGAAUUACUGGGCGUAAAGCGUGCGCAGGCGGUUUUGUAAGACAGGGGUGAAAUCCCCGGGCUUAACCUGGGAACUGCACUGGUGACUGCAAGGCUGGAGUACGGCAGAGGGGGAUGGAAUUCCGCAUGUAGCAGUGAAAUGCGUAGAUAUGCGGAGGAACACCGAUGGCGAAGGCGGUCCCCUGGGCCUGUACUGACGCUCAUGCACGAAAGCGUGGGGAGCAAACAGGAUUAGAUCCCCUUGUAGU
rnacentral:rRNA from 1 species